GGCGUCGCAGCCUUCCCUGACGUCAGCGCGCCGCGGCGGGCCCCGCCCCUCGCCUUCUUUAGGGCGGGGCUGGAUGGGCCUGGGUUGGUGCGACGCGAGGAAGGAUGUGCUCCUGGGCUGGCGGCUCGGAGCCGGUCGUUCUGCCACCUUCAGGCUCGCGGGACGUAGGCGGCUGAGUCUGUACUCAUCGGUGAGAAGAGCGCAGAACUGUGCAGGCGAAUACAGGAUGAUUUUUAGUGAGCUGGGAUGGAGAGACAUGGGACCUGCAUGGAGCAUUUGGUUUUGGAUUUCUAGAGGGAACUUCUUUAUGUCAGAGAGAAGAAUGAGAAGAGACAUUUCCCAGGAAUUUGAAGGAGCUACUCUACAGUAAAAGGUGAUUGGAUAUAUGUUCUUCAACUCUACUGAGGCGAGUAAGGAACAAGUUUUAAACAAUGGGAUAAAACCAAAAAACCGAGGUUGGCUCUGCUUUAUGGAAGAGGUACCUUAGUGGUGAAGAAGGGCCGUGCCAUAAGCCUUGGCCAAACUCUGAAUAACAUCUCCAUUGGUCUGACACUAAGGUCUGAAUGAUAAUCAUGUCUUCAGAGAGGCCCUGUUCAAAUGUGUCAAGUUACCUUGGUGAUAUGAUGCAUUAGCAGUUGGCAUAGAAUAGUUUACCAGAUUGGCUAGAUGCUGCCUACAUUGGAACCCUGGGCAAAAAGCACAGGCAGUUUAGUUUUGCUGGGAGUGAGAAAGAUUAUGGGAAUUUCCUGGCAUACAGUAUUUAUAAGGAAGAAGAAAUGAGGAGCUGAAUAAAGAGGUGAGAGACGGGAAAGGCGGCAGGAACACCUGGGGUCUUGCAGGCUCAGCAGACUGUAAACUCUUCAAGGACCAGAAAUGGAUCUGGUUCACUGUUAUACUUAGGUUAGUUAACAGUACCUGGGACAUAGGUGCACAACAAAGGUUUAUUGAACAGGUGAAAGAAUGUAUGUUCUCAGUGAGUGGGUGGUGUCUAUUCUCAAAGGAGAACGAGGGGAGCUUUCUAAACUAAAUUUAUAUACUUAACUAAGUUUGCCUAAGUCAGUCAGUUACUUACUUAACUAAGUUGGCCCUGCUAAAGAUUGUGGAAGGCUGUAGAAUUUCUUUCUAUAAGGUCUUUAAAAACAAGAUAGAUUCUUAUCUGUCUGGAAGGGUUCCUGUGAAAAACAGAAGAUGGAUCUGAGUAAUUAAAAUAACCUCUGGCCUUUUUCUUCCUUGGGCUUGUUUUUGUUUUUGUUUUUAAUUUCAAGAAAUGCAGUGUAAAAGUGCAUACUAUCACCGUCACGCGAGCAACAAUAACCAUUUGUUGAGAGUUUAGUGUAUGCCAGGCAAAGUGCUGAGUGUGUAAUCUAUGCACUGAUGAAUUGUUUGAUUUUUGGGAAUGCCUGUGGCUUUUACCAUGUAGCAACACAGUACUCCUGCAGAUGUCACUCUUUUCCUGCACAAUGCUACCCCUUGAGACCUUCACUGGAGCCUUACAAUGAGAUAGGGCUGAGAAAGAAGUGAUUUUAAAGUCAGUGUACCAAGGUUUAAAAAAAAAAAUCAGCAUUGUCUACAUUUGAAUCUAAGUUCCUAAAUAAGAAUCAGCCUUCCUAUUAGGAAGUUAUAUAUAAAAAAUUUUCUCAAAAUAGAAAACUCAGUGGUCAAGUUCACAUACUUUUUAAGUGGCUUUACCAUUUUACCUUCAUCUUUAGCAUAACAGAAUAUAAUUUUUGUCCUAUUUUCUUCAGGAACACUGAAACAAAGAAUGUUUUUGAAAGGCGAUCUUCCCCUCCCCUGUGUUUCAUUUUGUACCAUCCUCUUUAUCUCAUUUCUGACUUUUUCCCCUCUUUUGCUGGUGUGGUGUGACUACGCUUGGGGAAAUGGUCACAGCUGACAGGUUCCUGUGUGGAGGCACAAUUCAUCAGUCUUCUUUCCAUCUGGACCUCAGCUUUUCCUUCCAGCUUGUGGCCAUACCUGACCCCUAGUGUACAGCCCUUCAAAAACAUGCAGGUACAGGAUAGAAGAGGAAAAGCAGGAUUAAGAACAUGCCUAGAAAAAUAGCAAUUUCUUUAUUACUACCCUGUGGUAUUUACAAAAACAUGCUUCUAGGUUCACAUCACUCUCUUGAUGCUUCUGGGCAAAUGCACAAAACAUUUUUAGCUCUGCAUGUGGCUCUGGCGAGUCAGUGUUCAGUAUUCACAUUGAGUGACAGCAUCUCAUUUUCUGAUACACUCUUGAAACAUUGAGGGUGUCAUAUCUCAGAGGAAAAUUCUGUGGAAUAUUUCCCCCUUUCAUCAGAUCCCUUGGUGCAGCUCUAAGGCAGUGCUUCUUAGCAUGUGGUCUAUUGAUCAUUUGUAUCUGAUGGUCAUUUAAAAAAAAAAAAAAGCAAAAUCUUAGACCUACCUCUCUUCACAACUAUA